rnacentral:sRNA from 1 species
UGAAACAACAGGGCCUGGGUUUUGUCGA